rnacentral:rRNA from 1 species
AGCGAACGCUGGCGGCGUGCCUAACACAUGCAAGUCGAACGUGAAAAGGGAAACCUGAGUAAAGUGGCGUACGGGUGAGUAACGCGUAGGUAAUCUACCCCAGAAUCUGGAAUAACCUGCCGAAAGACGGGCUAAUACUGGAUAGAGCGAGGGAACUCGUAAGAGAGUUUUUCGGGAAAGGGAGCCCGCAAGGGCCUUCGUUCUGGGAUGAGCCUGCGUCUCAUUAGCUAGUUGGUAAGGUAACGGCUUACCAAGGCGAUGAUGAGUAGCUGGUCUGAGAGGAUGAUCAGCCACACUGGAACUGAAACACGGUCCAGACUCCUACGGGAGGCAGCAGUGGGGAAUCUUGCGCAAUGGACGAAAGUCUGACGCAGCCACGCCGCGUGAGUGAAGAAGGCCUUCGGGUUGUAAAGCUCUGUCGGAUGGGACGAACAUCUUCAUAGUGAAUAGCUAUGAGGACUGACGGUACCAUCAAAGGAAGCACCGGCUAACUCCGUG